rnacentral:rRNA from 1 species
UACGAACCGUGCGAACGUUGUUCGGAAUCACCGGGCUUAAAGGGCGCGUAGGCGGGCUGACAAGUCUGGGGUGAAAUGCCGCGGCUCAACCGUGGAACUGCCUCAGAUACUGUCGGCCUCGAGGGAGGUAGGGGCGUGCGGAACUGUAGGUGGAGCGGUGAAAUGCGUUGAUAUCUACAGGAACUCCGGUGGCGAAAGCGGCGCGCUGGACCGCUUCUGACGCUGAGGCGCGAAAGCUAGGGGAGCAAACGGG